rnacentral:lncRNA from 1 species
GUGGAUGGCAAACUCUCUUACCAUAAGGGAUCUUUACUCCCAGUUGAUAUUAUACUCUGACUCCUAAAAACAGGAUUUCAGAAACAUUUCAUUCCCUUAAUCCUUCCACAAUCUUGGGAAAGUGGGAAGGACACCAGGAGGACUAUAUUCUAAUAUAUUAUCAGAAAACAUUUUUCUAUCAAUUUUGUCUGGUAUAAUAAAAUAUGUAUAAUGACUGGAUGGAUUGCUUGUGUAAUAAUGAUGUAAGGCAUGCAUGUUGUUAAUUAUUUGUCAUUGCUCAGUCUUCCAUGAAUUUCAGCAGCAUCUUAACUUGUCCUUCAUUGUUUUUCUUGACUACAGUCACAUACACAUCAGACAAGCUUAAAAUUGAGUAAGCAUCCUUUUCAAAAAGAUUUCCGGAUUUGUCUGUUCAAGCUGUGGAGUUGAGAAACAGUUGCCUUCUUCACUUAUGUAUUGGAAGGAAUGAGUUGAUUUCCAAGCCACCCACUAUCUUCAGUGCCUGCAAUGCAUUCCCUCUUCACCUCUUCACCCUCAUAUCUAAGAAGCCCUGCGUUCCUUCUAGACUCAUCUCAAGUAAGUAUAUUAUUGUUCAGUUGUUUUUCAGUGGUGUCUGAUUCUUCCUGACCCUUUUUGGUGUUUUCUUGGCAAAGAUACUAGAGUGCUUUGCCAUUUCCUUCUCCUCCUCAUUUUAAAGAUGAGAAAACUGAGGCAAAUAAGGUUAAGUGACUUGCCCAGGGUCACACAGCUAGUAAGUGACUGAGACCAGAUUUGAAUUCAGAAAUAUAAGUCUUCUUGACUAUAGGUCCUACAUGUUCUUCAUCGCAUCAUCAAACCGUCCUGGCUCAAUCAAGUAUGACUCUUCUACCUGAAACUUAUUCUGAUCCUUUCCUAACAGCUACCUAUGUCUCUUUCUCCAAAAUUAUUUUAUCUAUUUUGGGCAUAUUCUGUAUAUAAAUCUAUGUAUAUGUUUUCUCCUCUGGGUAGAUUAUAAGAUCUUCAAGGACAGCAAGAAUUUCAUUUUUGGCAUUGCAUCCCUGGCGAUAUAUGAUUAUUGGUUGCUUGACUGUUGGCAUACAUGUG